rnacentral:rRNA from 1 species
UGGGGAAUUUUGGACAAUGGGGGAAACCCUGAUCCAGCCAUCCCGCGUGUGCGAUGAAGGCCUUCGGGUUGUAAAGCACUUUUGGCAGGAAAGAAACGUCAUGGGUUAAUACCCCGUGAAACUGACGGUACCUGCAGAAUAAGCACCGGCUAACUACGUGCCAGCAGCCGCGGUAAUACGUAGGGUGCAAGCGUUAAUCGGAAUUACUGGGCGUAAAGCGUGCGCAGGCGGUUCGGUAAGAAAGAUGUGAAAUCCCAGAGCUCAACUUUAGAACGGCAUUUUUAACUACCGGGCUAGAGUGUGUCAGAGGGAGGUGGAAUUCCGCGUGUAGCAGUGAAAUGCGUAGAUAUGCGGAGGAACACCGAUGGCGAAGGCAGCCACCUGGGAUAACACUGACGCUCAUGCACGAAAGCGUGGGGAGCAAACAGG